AUGAAGCUUGCAUGGGCACUAUUCACGUGUGGCAUGUGCAUACUAAACUCACUUGCAAUUUUUGCAUUUCACCUCAUUUCUCACUAAUCAUGCUUAACACCAAGCCUAAUUUGAUUAUCAUGAUUAGUGCAUCAUAUAAAAGCCAAACCCUAACUGUAUUUGCUCAUAACAGAAUUUCAGAUCUGGAAUUUUCAUUUUCCC
rnacentral:lncRNA from 1 species